UGUGUGUCUCAUCUAGCAGCUCA
rnacentral:siRNA from 1 species